rnacentral:ncRNA from 2 species
CCGUAACUAUAACGGUCCUAAGGUAGCGAAAUUCCUUGUCGGGUAAGUUCCGACCUGCACGAAUGGCGUAACGAUGGCCACACUGUCUCCUCUUGAGACUCAGCGAAGUUGAAGUGUUUGUGAUGAUGCAAUCUCCCCGCGGCUAGACGGAAAGACCCCAUGAACCUUUACUGUAGCUUUGCAUUGGAUUUUGAACCGAUUUGUGUAGGAUAGGUGGGAGGCUAUGAAACCAGGACGCUAGUCUUGGUGGAGCCGUCCUUGAAAUACCACCCUGGUUUGUUUGAGGUUCUAACCUUGGCCCGUGAUCCGGGUCGGGGACAGUGCAUGGUAGGCAGUUUGACUGGGGCGGUCUCCUCCCAAAGCGUAACGGAGGAGUACAAAGGUACGCUAGGUACGGUCGGAAAUCGUGCUGAUAGUGCAAUGGCAUAAGCGUGCUUAACUGCGAGACCGACAAGUCGAGCAGGUGCGAAAGCAGGUCAUAGUGAUCCGGUGGUUCUGUAUGGAAGGGCCAUCGCUCAACGGAUAAAAGGUACUCUGGGGAUAACAGGCUGAUACCGCCCAAGAGUUCAUAUCGACGGCGGUGUUUGGCACCUCGAUGUCGGCUCAUCUCAUCCUGGGGCUGUAGCCGGUCCCAAGGGUAUGGCUGUUCGCCAUUUAAAGAGGUACGUGAGCUGGGUUUAAAACGUCGUGAGACAGUUUGGUCCCUAUCUGCCGUGGGCGUUGGAUAUUUGAAGGGGGCUGCUCCUAGUACGAGAGGACCGGAGUGGACGAACCUCUGGUGUACCGGUUGUGACGCCAGUCGCAUCGCCGGGUAGCUAUGUUCGGAAGAGAUAACCGCUGAAAGCAUCUAAGCGGGAAACUCGCCUUAAGAUGAGAUAUCCCCGGGGCGUCCAGUCCCUUGAAGGGUUGUUCCAGACCAGGACGUUGAUAGGUCAGGUGUGUAAGUGCAGUAAUGCAUUGAGCUAACUGAUACUAAUUGCCCGUAAGGCUUGAUCCU